rnacentral:rRNA from 1 species
GCUUGUUGUGCGAUAAAUCAUUCAAGUUUCUGCCCUAUCAGCUUUGGAUGGUAGUGUAUUGGACUACCAUGGCAGUCACGGGUAACGGAGAAUUAGGGUUCGAUUCCGGAGAGGGAGCCUGAGAAACGGCUACCACAUCUACGGAAGGCAGCAGGAGCGAAAAUUGCCCAAUCCCGACACGGGGAGGCAGUGACGAGAAAUAACAACUCUUGGUUAUUCUAAGAAGUGUAAUGAGGAUAAUUUAAAACCCUUACCGAAAGCAAUUGGAGGGCAAGUCUGGUGCCAGCAGCCGCGGUAAUUCCAGCUCCAAUAGCGUAUAUUAAAGUUGUUGCAGUUAAAAAGCUCGUAGUUGAAGUUCUGGCUGCUUGACCCUCGAGCUCUGUAGCCGAGGGCUCAGCAGUCAUCCGCUUGCAAAUAUAUGUUCGCCUUUAACCGGGCGGCUAUAUGAGUAAGCAUUUUACCUUGAGAAAAACAGAGUGUUCCAGGCAGGUUUGUCCGGAAUGCAUUAGCAUGGAAUAAUAGAAUAUGACUGAAGUCGAUUUAUUGGUUUGAGGCUUUAGUAAUGAUUAAUAGGAACAGUCGGGGGCAUUGGUACCUGUCAGUCAGAGGUGAAAUUCUAGGAUUUGACAAAGACUAACAAAUGCGAAAGCAUUUGCCAAGGAUGUUUUCAUUAAUCAAGAACGAAGGUUAGGGGAUCAAAGACGAUCAGAUACCGUCCUAGUCUUAACUAUAAACUAUACCGACUCGGAUUCAGAUGAAUCAUAAAGUUCAUUUGGGACCGUAGGAGAAAUCAAAGUUAUUGGGUUCUGGGGGAAGUAUGGUCGCAAGGCUGAAACUUAAAGGAAUUGACGGUUUUUGCACAACCAUGGAGUGGAGUCUGCGGCUUAAUUUGACCCAACACUGGGAAACUCAUCAGGGCAAGAAGAUUGUAGGAUUGACAGAUUGAGAGUUCUUUCUUGAUUGGUCUAGUGGUGGUGCAUGGCCGUUCUUAGUUGGUGGAGUGAUUUGUCUGGUUAAUUCCGUUAACGAACGAGACCUUAACCUGCUAACUAGUACACCGAUGACAAAUCGGUGAUACUUCUUAGAGGGACUAUGUGAUGUAAUCACAUGGAAGUUUGAGGCAAUAACAGGUCUGUGAUGCCCUUAGAUGCCCUGAGCUGCACGCGUACUACAAUGGUGCUUUCAUCGAGCUUUUCCUGAUCCGAAAGGAUUUGGGUAAUCUUUUUAGUGAGCACCGUGCUUGGGAUAGAUCUUUGUAAUUAUGGAUCUUGAACUAGGAAUUCCUAGUAAGCACGUGUCAUCAGCACGU